GUGUCUCUUCCCUGGUUCGUAUCCUGUUCCAGGUUCAGACUCAGAAACAGAGCCGAGACCCUGAGUCCCGGUUUACACAUAGAAUAUGAGGCGGGUGACAAGACUGACGGUGCUCCUGAUCUUGAGUACUUUGAGCCUUGCUAAGACCACCCAGCCCCUCUUCACUGACGCAUAUGAAGGACAAGAGGUGAACAUACCCUGUAACCACAGCAACAUUGCUACAAAUGAGUACAUCUUCUGGUACCGACAGUUCCCCAACAAGGGACCACAAUUUGUUAUUCGAGGAUUUAAGACAAACGAGACAAAUGAAGUGGUGUCUCUGUUCAUCCCUGCAGACAGGAAGUCCAGCACCCUGAGCCUGCCCCAGGUUGCCCUGAGAGACUCUGCCGUGUACUACUGCAUCGGAUGAGGAGCCUGCUGAAGGUGGAGCAGAGUGCUGAGUCACUGAAUGUUCAGGACAGAGCCAGCUCUUCUCUCAACUGCACUUAAGAAGACCACUGUUUCCAGUACUUCAUGGGGUACAGAUAGUGUCCUGGAAAAAGCCUAGGGUUUCUGAUUCCCAGACUCUCAAAUGGAGAAAAUGAGGAAAGGAGAUUCACAGCAUUUGAACAAAGACGAGAUAUACACCUCCCUGCACAUCACAGAUUUGAAGCCU